rnacentral:rRNA from 1 species
UUAUGUGAGAAUCAUAAUGGUCGAAAAUCUAAGGUUUCUUGAGGAAGGUUCGUCCGCUCAAGGUAAGCCGGGAGCUAAGGCGAGGCCGAGAGGCGUAGUCGAUGCACAUACGGUAAAGAUUCCGUAGCCACCGAAGUCGUUAAAUACAGGGACACAGGAACAUAGCCUAACCCCACCGUUGGUUGAGUGGGGCGUAAGGGAGCGAAAAUUAGUAGCGAAGUAGGUGAUUGUACACUGGCGAGAAAAGCUGUAUGGAUUGACAAGGUGCCCGUACCGCAAACCGACACAGGUAGAUGAGGAGAGAAUCCUAAGACCAGCGGGAGAAGUGUUGUUAAGGAACUCGGCAAAAUGACCCCGUAACUUCGGGAUAAGGGGAGCCUACGCGAGUAGGCCGCAGAGAAUAGUCUCAAGCGACUGUUUAGCAAAAACACAGGUCUAUGCUAAAUCGAAAGAUGAUGUAUAUGGGCUGACGCCUGCCCGGUGCUGGAAGGUUAAGGGGAAGUGUUAGAGUAAUCGAAGCACUGAACUUAAGCCCCAGUAAACGGCGGCCGUAACUAUAACGGUCCUAAGGUAGCGAAAUUCCUUGUCAGGUAAGUUCUGACCCGCACGAAUGGCGUAACGACUUGAGAGCUGUCUCAACAACAUACCCGGCGAAAUUGAAGUACUGGUAAAGAUGCCAGUUACCCGUGAUUAGACGGAAAGACCCCAUGGAGCUUUACUGUAACUUGAUAUUGAAUUUUUGUAUUACAUGUACAGGAUAGGUGGGAGACAGAGAACUAAUGCCGCCAGGUGUUAGGGAGUCGAUGUUGGGAUACCACUCUUGUAAUAUGAAGGUUCUAACCUGCACCCGUGAAUCCGGGUGGGGGACACUGUCAGGUGGGCAGUUUGACUGGGGCGGUCGCCUCCUAAAAGGUAACGGAGGCGUUCAAAGGUUGGUUCAGCACGGACGGAAAUCGUGCAACGAGUGCAAACGCAUAAACCAGCCUAACUGCGAGACCGACAAGUCGAGCAGUAACGAAAGUUGGAGUUAGUGAUCCGGCGGUA